rnacentral:lncRNA from 1 species
CUGGAACAUGACUUCUGCUAAUCAGAUGUCAUCAACAUACGAACUCCAACUUUGGCGGCCAUCAGCAAACUGUUUAAAACAGGUCUGAUGGGACAAGACUUUAAACAAUCACACAAAGAAAAACAAGGUACAAUGUGUGCUUCAGGUAUAAUUGAUGCUACACAAAAAAGCUCAACAGGGGGAUCAACCUAUUCAGGGAGAUCAUGCUAGGCUUUUAGCCAAGGAAGUGAAGACUGACUGAGAUCUGAAAUUACAGCAGGCGUUAAUAAGCUGAAGGAUGGGAAUGCCCUUUCCACCCAGGCCCAGCACCUGCAGGGCCGACCAGCUCCAGUCCCAGGUCCAAUCCUGAGUGGCCAAAAGCCGGAAACCCGGAGUUGGAAUUGGAUCUUGCACAAGCUGGACCAGGGAGUGAGGCUACUUGAGAAGCAUCUUAAAUGGGGAGAGAGAGCAAGUUAAAUCUGAUUUCCACGCAGCUCUGUGGAUUCCGAAUGUCCACAGUAUGAUGUUAUCUCCAUUCCCACUUCCGAGCCGCUCCUCUUCUGUGUUUCCUGCACCACCAUUCGCUCAGUUGCUCUACACUAAAAUUUGCUGUCAUCGUUGACUUCUCCCUCUCCUUCAUCCCCUACAAGUAUCAACAUAGACAACUCCGAUCAAUAUAAUCAUCAGUGAAUAAAGCAAAUUGCAGCGCAUAUUCUUAAAGACAAACUUUCCACUUGCAGCAGCACCUACCUUCCAGAUAGCUAAAUUGAAGCCCGUGUUUAUCAUAGCUGCUUCUAACCAGCCAGAGCUGAUAAUAACUAAGAACUUGCAGGAAUUGCAGUAUGCCAGACCUUCAAUUUAAUUGAAGACUUUCCUGAACAAUUAAUGAGACUUGUCUUAACCAGCAGGGAAUGGCUUUAGGGACUCAUUCUUCCCUAUGCAGGUGCAAGCCUCAAACCUUAAUUAGGAUCAUCCACCAUGAUCCUCGAGCCCUUCCCCGCCCUCAGAAUCUAGGAUAGCACCUGGCACACAUGGUGAGCACUCACUUCAUGGCUGUCGGAUAAACAAUGGAGCAAGGAAGGUGGAGAUGGAUGCUUACACAUGGGGAAUUGUAUCAGGAAGGAGUGUAUGUGUGAUUAAAACCUGUUCUACAUAAAUAGAAAAGUUGAUCAUUCAACACAUGGACGGCUAAGACUAUAUGCAGACUAUCCAUUCUCAGGAAGAAAAGGGAAGCAAUCUACCUGACUUCCCCAAAUGGAUUCCGUAUUUUGAUAUGAAUUGUUAUCAUGUGGGAAAUGCGAUGGCCUCCAGGUAUACUACCUCAGAGAUCAGUGAGCAGAAAAGCUCACAGAUCAAAUUAAAAUGCUUGAAUCUCUUAGUUUAUUUAAAUCAAUUUAAAGAGACAGUGAAAAGCAAGAGGAAAGAGAUGGGAUAAGUAAACGCUGUCAAGAGACGGUGCAAAUCUGGUGGAAGAUGCCUGCUACCUAAAGCCUACCUCAUACAAUGUUCAGGGGCCACCAUCCCCCACCUGCCCCAACCUCCACCCCUCUCUGUGAUAUUGACUUUCCUGUGGAUCGUGGUGCUGAAGACGACAGGUUUGAGCAAGGAGACUCAAAGAGGCAAGGUGCCCCACGCCAAUGACACAAACUUGCUCUGUCCGAGAUGCAGGUACAAGCAAGCCUAGCAAAGAGCUGAGCUUUGCCUGUUGGCCUGUGGAGCAACCAUGGGUUUUACUGUGUUUCUUGGACAGAGGACACUUGGGGACAGAAGUGAAUAGCAUGACUAUUUCAUGCUUAUGUAUAUUUUAUGCACUGUAUUUAGUGCCUCUUGGACAUUUAAUGUAUCAAAUAUUUCAUGCUCAGGUGUCUCAUGUAUACUUGGUAGCUAGGAAUGUUAGGUAUCCUGGACUUUCUAUUCCUUUCUGUGUCUAACACAUGUUCUACUUACUACUUAACACAUCUAAUAAAAUCUGCCUAUGUUUGUGCUUCAGGUCUGAUGGGACAGACUUUAAAGACUCACACGAAUAAAAAGGCUUAGACAAAAAAGUGAAGAUUGGCUGAGAUCUGAAAUUACGCAGGAAUUAAUGAGCUGAAGGAUGGGAAGGCCCAUUCCAGGCAGAGGGGACAGUAU